CAGCAGCCGCGGUAAUUCGGAGGGUGCAAGCGUUAAUCGGAAUUACUGGGCGUAAAGCGCACGCAGGCGGUUUGUUAAGUCAGAUGUGAAAUCCCCGCGCUUAACGUGGGAACUGCAUUUGAAACUGGCAAGCUAGAGUCUUGUAGAGGGGGGUAGAAUUCCAGGUGUAGCGGUGAAAUGCGUAGAGAUCUGGAGGAAUACCGGUGGCGAAGGCGGCCCCCUGGACAAAGACUGACGCUCAGGUGCGAAAGCGUGGGGAGCAAACAGGAUUAGAUACCCUGGUAGUCCACGCUGUAAACGAUGUCGACUUGGAGGUUGUGCCCUUGAGGCGUGGCUUCCGGAGCUAACGCGUUAAGUCGACCGCCUGGGGAGUACGGCCGCAAGGUUAAAACUCAAAUGAAUUGACGG
rnacentral:rRNA from 1 species